GACGUAGGGCGCGAGCGUUGUCCGGAUUUAUUGGGCGUAAAGAGCUCGUAGGCGGCUUGUCGCGUCAACUGUGAAAACCCGUGGCUCAACCAUGUGGUCUGCAGUCGAUACGGGCAGGCUAGAAUUCGGUAGGGGAGACUGGAAUUCCUGAUGUAGCGGUGAAAUGCGCAGAUAUCAUGAGGAACACCGGUGGCGAAGGCGGGUCUCUGGGCCGAUAUUGACGCUGAGGAGCGAAAGCGUGGGGAGCGAACAGG
rnacentral:rRNA from 1 species